UCCAUCUUUCCCAAAACUCGCCUAGCGACCUCAAUCAUUUUGCCUUUGUUCUGCAGAUUCUCUUCAUUAUUAGAGUUAAAAGUUGUAGCAUCCGUAGCAUUCUUGACAACCCCCAAAUUGUUUAGAGAAUCUUUUCCUUCACCAGAAUUAUCAUCAGUGUAAACAAUAUCUUGGGAGAUUAUCAUAAGCGAACUCUUGAUAAUGCUCAAUAACUUUGCCUGAAUCUUUGUUCAUAAAGAAAAACCUUAUUUUUUUGGAUGCUUAUCAAGUAGAUCUAGAAUGAUCUCAACUCUAGCUGUCCUUGGCCUGAUACGUUCUUGAGUGGCUUUAUCUACAACAAUUGGUUUCCCUGCGGCUGAAGCAAUUGAUAAAAGUGUUUUUUUUUUGGCAAACAUAUGUAGUGGCAGAUCUGGAAAUGAUAUCCAUGUCAAUGCUUUCGAUGUUUCUUCCUUAGGAUUGAACCAUAUAGUCCAAAGAAACGUUCUAAAUAGGAA